rnacentral:rRNA from 1 species
UACGUAGGGUGCAAGCGUUAAUCGGAAUUACUGGGCGUAAAGCGUGCGCAGGCGGUUUCGUAAGACAGAUGUGAAAGCCCCGGGCUCAACCUGGGAAGUGCAUUUGUGACUGCGAGACUAGAGUGUGUCAGAGGGAGGUAGAAUUCCACGUGUAGCAGUGAAAUGCGUAGAGAUGUGGAGGAAUACCGAUGGCGAAGGCAGCCUCCUGGGAUAACACUGACGCUCAUGCACGAAAGCGUGGGGAGCAAACAGG